CCCUAAAAUUUGACUCAAGAAUCAAUCUUACGAUCCCAUCUAAUCUCGGAAGCUAAGUAGAGUCAGGCCUGGUUAGUAUUUGGAUGGGAGACCACCUAGGAAAACCAGGUGCUGUAGGCG
rnacentral:rRNA from 1 species